AUACGGAGGAUGCGAGCGUUAUCCGGAUUUAUUGGGUUUAAAGGGAGCGUAGGUGGGAUAUUAAGUCAGCUGUGAAAGUUUGGGGCUCAACCUUAAAAUUGCAGUUGAUACUGGUUUCCUUGAGUACGGUAUAGGUGGGCGGAAUUCGUGGUGUAGCGGUGAAAUGCUUAGAUAUCACGAAGAACUCCGAUCGCGAAGGCAGCUCACCGGGCCGGAACUGACACUGAUGCUCGAAAGUGCGGGUAUCAAACAGGAUUAGAUACCCUGGUAGUCCGCACAGUAAACGAUGAACACUCGCUGUUUGCGAUACACUGUAAGCGGCCAAGCGAAAGCGUUAAGUAUUCCACCUGGGGAGUACGCCGGCAACGGUGAAACUCAAAUGAAUUGGCGGGG
rnacentral:rRNA from 1 species